rnacentral:rRNA from 1 species
GCCCUAUCGGGUAUUUUAGUUAUAGGUUCUGUAGGAACUAGACGAUCCUAUUUGGUCAAACACCUAACGAAAAAUUGUGAUUUUCCUUACAUUAAGGUACAAGGGCUUCUUAUUCCACAAAAACAAAAGCACCUUUUCAUUCUUUCAUAUAAUAGGGAUUUUUACUUGGAAAAGACAAUGUUCCAUAGUAAAGGAUUCGGGUCCAUAACCCGAAAUAAUCUAUAG